rnacentral:miRNA from 1 species
CCCGCCAUACGGUGCAGUCUCGCGUGCUCCACUCUGGCCGCCUGGAAAGGAGCUCUAAGGGCUGGGCCGGUCGGCGUCCGG